rnacentral:rRNA from 1 species
AGCAGUGGGGAAUAUUGGACAAUGGGCGAAAGCCUGAUCCAGCCAUGCCGCGUGUGUGAAGAAGGUCUUCGGAUUGCAAAGCACUUUAAGUUGGGAGGAAGGGCAGUAAAUUAAUACUUUGCUGUUUUGACGUUACCGACAGAAUAAGCACCGGCUAACUCUGUGCCAGCAGCCGCGGUAAUACAGAGGGUGCAAGCGUUAAUCGGAAUUACUGGGCGUAAAGCGCGCGUAGGUGGUUCGUUAAGUUGGAUGUGAAAUCCCCGGGCUCAACCUGGGAACUGCAUUCAAAACUGACGAGCUAGAGUAUGGUAGAGGGUGGUGGAAUUUCCUGUGUAGCGGUGAAAUGCGUAGAUAUAGGAAGGAACACCAGUGGCGAAGGCGACCACCUGGACUGAUACUGACACUGAGG